rnacentral:rRNA from 1 species
UAUUAGAGGCACUGCCUGCCCAGUGACAUGCGUUUAACGGCCGCGGUAUUCUGACCGUGCAAAGGUAGCAUAAUCAUUUGUUCCUUAAUUAGGGACUAGUAUGAAAGGCUUGACGAGGGUUUUACUGUCUCUUGUUUCCAAUCAGUGAAAUUGACCUUCCCGUGAAGAGGCGGGGAUAAUAAUAUAAGACGAGAAGACCCUGUGGAGCUUAAAUUACUGGCCCAACUAUAUCCAAUUAGCCCCUCAGGGCCAACAUAUAAUAAACUGGGCUAAAAAUUUCGGUUGGGGUGACCUCGGAGUAAAAGAAAUCCUCCGAAUGAUUUAUAACCAGACCUAACAAGUCAAGUUAGUAACUCAUCAUCAAUUGAUCCAAGAAAUUGAUCAACGGAACAAGUUACCCCAGGGAUAACAGCGCAAUCCUAUUUUAGAGUUCAUAUCGACAAUAGGGUUUACGACCUCGAUGUUGGAUCAGGACAUCCUAAUGGCGC